CUUUAUUUCAUUUAUUUUACUACUCUUAUCCAUUUAUAUAUAUCAUGAUAGCAAAGCGAAGGAGAGAGAAGAGAAAGAAAAAAAAACAAAAAAAAAAAACACACACUUUACUUAUUAAGUGCCCCUCUUUCCCUUUAUUCUUUUUUUCCAUUGUUAUAUACGUGUUCCUAUAAUUUGUUCUCAGAACGAUUAUUAAUUAUCA